rnacentral:rRNA from 1 species
AUUGAACGCUGGCGGCAGGCCUAACACAUGCAAGUCGAGCGGGGUUUUCGGACCUAGCGGCGGACGGGUGAGUAAUGCGUAGGAAGCUACCCGAUAGAGGGGGAUACCAGUUGGAAACGACUGUUAAUACCGCAUAAUGUCUACGGACCAAAGUGUGGGACCUUCGGGCCACAUGCUAUCGGAUGCGCCUACGUGGGAUUAGCUAGUUGGUGAGGUAAUGGCUCACCAAGGCGACGAUCCCUAGCUGGUUUGAGAGGAUGAUCAGCCACACUGGAACUGAGACACGGGCCAGACGCCUACGGGAGGCAGCAGUGGGGAAUAUUGGACAAUGGGCGCAAGCCUGAUCCAGCCAUGCCGCGUGUGUGAAGAAGGCCUUCGGGUUGUAAAGCACUUUCAGUAGGGAGGAAGCGUUGUGUGUUAAUAGUACACAGCGUUGACGUUACCUACAGAAGAAGCACCGGCUAACUCUGUGCCAGCCGCCGCUGUAAAAC